rnacentral:rRNA from 1 species
UACGGGGGGGGCAAGCGUUGUUCGGAAUUACUGGGCGUAAAGGGCGCGUAGGCGGCCAGACAGGUCCGUUGUGAAAACUCGAGGCUCAACCUCGAGAUGUCGAUGGAAACCGUCUGGCUAGAGUCCGGAAGAGGAGUGUGGAAUUCCUGGUGUAGCGGUGAAAUGCGCAGAUAUCAGGAAGAACACCUAUGGCGAAGGCAGCACUCUGGGACGGUACUGACGCUGAGACGCGAAAGCGUGGGGGAGCGAACAGG